rnacentral:lncRNA from 1 species
CAUUUCUUCUUUCUAGGUUCACAUUUAUUGCCAAAAGAUGUCUACUCUCCUGGAAAACAUCUUUGCCAUAAUUAAUCUUUUCAAGCAAUAUUCAAAAAAAGAUAAAAACACUGACACAUUGAGUAAAAAAGAGCUGAAGGAACUUCUGGAAAAGGAAUUUCGGCAAAUCCUGAAAAUCCAGAUGACCCAGAUAUGGUUGAUGUCUUCAUGGAUCACUUGGAUAUAGACCACAACAAGAAAAUUGACUUCACUGAGUUUCUUCUGAUGGUAUUCAAGUUGGCUCAAGCAUAUUAUGAGUCUACCAGAAAAGA